rnacentral:rRNA from 1 species
UGGAUGCCUUGGCAUGCUGAGCCGAUGAAGGACGUGUGAGACUGCGUUAAGCCUCGGGGAGUUGUCAAUAAAGCGUUGAUCCGAGGAUGUCCGAAUGGGGGAACCCAGCACCGGUUGUGUGGUGUUACCUGCAGAUGAAUGCAUAGUCUGUGUGGAGGUUGACGCGGGGAAGUGAAACAUCUCAGUACCCGUAGGAGAAGAAAACAAUUGUGAUUCUGCUAGUAGCGGCGAGCGAACGUGGAUGAGGCUAAACCAUGUGCGUGUGAUACCUGGCAGGGGUUGCGUGUGUGGUGUUGUGGGGUGCAGUGUUUCUGGGCUGCUGACCAGGAGCGUGCGCGUGCGUGUUAGCGGAAGCAUCUGGGAUGGUGCGCCGGAGUGGGUGAGAGUCCUGUACGUGAAGGCGUGUGCGUGUGUGUUGUUGUUGCCCCGAGUAGCAGCGGGCUCGUGGAAUCUGCUGUGAAUCUGCCGGGACCACCCGGUAAGCCUAAAUACUCAGUGUGACCGAUAGUGGAUAAGUACCGUGAGGGAAUGGUGAAAAGUACCCCGGGAGGGGAGUGAAAUAGUACCUGAAACCGUGUGCCUACAAACCGUCGGAGCCUUGACAGGUGACGGCGUGCCUUUUGAAGAAUGAGCCUGCGAGUUAGUGUUACGUCGCGAGGUUAACCCGUGAGGGGUAUCCGUAGCGAAAGCGAGUCCGAACAGGGCGUGUGAGUGGCGUGAUCUAGACCCGAAGCGAAGUGAUCU